rnacentral:rRNA from 1 species
UACGUAGGGUGCGAGCGUUAAUCGGAAUCACUGGGCUUAAAGGGUGCGCAGGCGGUCCGGAAAGUGUCCUGUGAAAUCCCACGGCUCAACCGUGGAAUUGCGGGGCAAACUUCCAGACUUGAGGAAGGUAGAGGCCGUUGGAACGAUAGGUGGAGCGGUGGAAUGCGUAGAGAUCUAUCGGAACGCCGAAGGUGAAGACAGACGGCUGGGCCUUUCCUGACGCUCAUGCACGAAAGCGUGGGGAGCAAACCGG